rnacentral:rRNA from 1 species
GAUGAACGCUGGCGGCGUGCCUAAUACAUGCAAGUCGAACGCACAUACGAGGAGCUUGCUCCGCUGACGUUAGCGACGGGCGGGGGAGUAACGCGUGGAAAACCGACCUAUACGACUGGAAUAACUUGGGAAAACCGGAGCUAAUACCGGAUAAUAUAUUAAACCGCAUUAUUCAGUAGUGAAAGACGGUGAUGCUGGCACUUAUAGAUGGAUCCGCGCCGCAUUAGCUAGUUGGUAAGGUAACGGCUUACCAAGGCCACGAUGCGUAGCCGACCUGAGAGGGUGAUCGGCCACACUGGAACUGAGACACGGUCCAGACUCCUACGGGAGGCAGCAGUAGGGAAUCUUCCGCAAUGGGCGAAAGCCUGACGGAGCAACGCCGCGUGAGUGAUGAAGGUCUUCGGAUCGUAAAACUCUGUUAUUAGGGAAGAACAAAUGUGUAAGUAACUAUGCACGUCUUGACGGUACCUAAUCAGAAAGCCACGGCUAACUACGUG